AGACUGAACGCUGGCGGCAUGCCUUACACAUGCAAGUCGAACGGCAGCACGGGAGCAAUCCUGGUGGCGAGUGGCGAACGGGUGAGUAAUACAUCGGAACGUGCCCAAUCGUGGGGGAUAACGCAGCGAAAGCUGUGCUAAUACCGCAUAAGAUCUACGGAUGAAAGCAGGGGAUCGCAAGACCUUGCGCGAAGUGGAGGCCGGCCGAUGGCA
rnacentral:rRNA from 1 species